rnacentral:rRNA from 1 species
AGCAGCCGCGGUAAUUCCAGCUCCAAUAGCGUAUAUUAAAGUUGUUGCAGUUAAAAAGCUCGUAGUUGAAUUUCGGGAUCAAAUUGUCGGUCGUGCCUCGGUACGCACUGGUAUUAUUGGUUCCUACCUUCUGAAGAACCGCGAUGUCAUUAAUUUGGUGUCGUGGGGGAAUCAGGACUGUUACUUUGAAAAAAAUUAGAGUGUUUAAAGCAGGCUUACGCUUGAAUACAUUAGCAUGGAAUAAUGAAAUAGGACGUUUGAUUCUAUUUUGUUGGUUUCUAGGAUUGACGUAAUGAUUAAUAGGGAUAGUUGGGGGCAUUAGUAUUCAAUUGUCAGAGGUGAAAUUCUUGGAUUAUUGGAAGACUAACUACUGCGAAAGCAUUUUGCCAAGGAUGUUUUUCAUUAAUCAAAGAACGAAAGUUAGGGGAUCGAAGACGAUCAGAUACCGUCGUAGUCUUAACCAUAAACUAUGCCGACUAGGGAUCGGAUGAUGUUAAUUUUUUUAAUGACUCAUUCGGCG